GUUGGCGUCCUGCCUGUGAUGGGUGGGGUUGAGGGCAUGCUGUUGGGUUGUGGGGUAUCACAUGUGUGGUGGCCUGUGCGGUGCUGUGUUGCGUGCGUGUGUGCGUGGUGUGGUGUUCGUGUGGUGGUUGAGAACUGUAUAAUGGAUGCAAGUAUCUUUAUUGUUGUAUGUGUUUGUGCGACGUGGUGUUGUGCAAAGUUGUGUAGAGCGAUCGAUGGAUGCCUUGGCACCAACAACAAAUAAAGGAAUUUGUUACCUGCAAUAAACCCUAGUGAUUUGACAGCUAACAAAUAUAUUAGCCUGCACAAUCAUAUUGAAUUACCAUAUCAAAACCCCAGACUGUUCCAGAUUACUCCCCACACCAAUCCCUCGGUCACAACCACCCCACCCAGGAAUUAAAUCUACCAUUCAUUCAAAAUAACUAACAAAAAAAGGGGUUUUGUCUUUUUGCGUCAUCAACGAACGGAGCCCCGCAAGUCUAUUGCAAGAUAAAAGGAUUUUCUAUAUCACCAAAAUAUAAACAAAUUUUUAAUACUAGCCGCAAUUUUUCCAUGACCCGUUUCAAUGU
rnacentral:misc_RNA from 1 species